AGACCCGAAACCCGGUGAUCUAGCCAUGGGCAGGUUGAAGGUUGGGUAACACUAACUGGAGGACCGAACCGACUAAUGUUGAAAAAUUAGCGGAUGACCUGUGGCUGGGGGUGAAAGGCCAAUCAAACCGGGAGAUAGCUGGUUCUCCCCGAAAGCUAUUUAGGUAGCGCCUCGUGAAUUCAUCUCCGGGGGUAGAGCACUGUUUCGGCUAGGGGGCCAUCCCGGCUUACCAACCCGAUGCAAACUGCGAAUACCGGAGAAUGUUAUCACGGGAGACACACGGCGGGUGCUAACGUCCGUCGUGAAGAGGGAAACAACCCAGACCGCCAGCUAAGGUCCCAAAGUCAUGGUUAAGUGGGAAACGAUGUGGGAAGGCCCAGACAGCCAGGAUGUUGGCUUAGAAGCAGCCAUCAUUUAAAGAAAGCGUAAUAGCUCACUGGUCGAGUCGGCCUGCGCGGAAGAUGUAACGGGGCUAAACCAUGCACCGAAGCUGCGGCAGCGAACGUAUCACCCAAGACAACUUUACGGAGUUGACGAUUGACGGAGCGAAGCGACGUCAAAGCGUUCAUUAAAGUCGAGUUGGCUUAGGGAUACGUUCGUUGGGUAGGGGAGCGUUCUGUAAGCCUGUGAAGGUGUGUCGUGAGGCAUGCUGGAGGUAUCAGAAGUGCGAAUGCUGACAUAAGUAACGAUAAAGCGGGUGAAAAGCCCGCUCGCCGGAAGACCAAGGGUUCCUGUCCAACGUUAAUCGGGGCAGGGUGAGUCGACCCCUAAGGCGAGGCCGAAAGGCGUAGUCGAUGGGAAACGGGUUAAUAUUCCCGUACUUGGUGUUACUGCGAAGGGGGGACGGAGAAGGCUAUGUUGGCCGGGCGACGGUUGUCCCGGUUUAAGCGUGUAGGUGUGUGUUCCAGGUAAAUCCGGUUCACUUUAACACUGAGGCGUGACGACGAGGCACUACGGUGCUGAAGCAACAAAUGCCCUGCUUCCAGGAAAAGCCUCUAAGCAUCAGGUAACACGAAAUCGUACCCCAAACCGACACAGGUGGUCAGGUAGAGAAUACCAAGGCGCUUGAGAGAACUCGGGUGAAGGAACUAGGCAAAAUGGUGCCGUAACUUCGGGAGAAG
rnacentral:rRNA from 1 species